CCUACGGGUGGCUGCAGUGAGGAAUAUUGGACAAUGGGCGCGACCCUGAACCAGCCAAGCCGCGUGAGGGAAGACGGUCCUAUGGAUUUUAAACCUCUUUUGUCGGGGAGCAAAAGUCGCCAUGCGUGGCUUUCCGAGAGUACCCGACGACAAACCAUCGGCUAACUCCGUGCCAACAGCCGCGGUAAUACGGAGGGUGCGAGGGUUAAUCGGAAUUACUGGGCGUAAAGCGCUCGUAGGCGGUAUGUCAAGUCAAGGGUGAAAUCCCCGCGCUCAACGUGGGAACUGCCUUUGAAACUGGCAAACUGGAGUGUGGGAGAGGAUAGUGGAAUUCCAGGUGUAGGAGUGAAAUCCGUAGAUAUCUGGAGGAACAUCAGUGGCGAAGGCGACUAUCUGGCACAUAACUGACGCUGAGGAGCGAAAGCGUGGGUAGCAAACAGGAUUAGAUACCCUUGUAGUC
rnacentral:rRNA from 1 species